AUAUUUUUUUUUCAAAGCUUGAAGAUGAAUAUCAGAACAAGAGUGAGAUGUCGCACUCCAGAUGUGCUGACCACUGUGAUUUCCUCAAAUGUGGGAAAUUCCACUGCAUAAUUUGUAGUAGUGGAGGACUGUGGUCACGCUUUCCCCUG
rnacentral:snRNA from 1 species